CAGUCGCCACGGUAAUACGAGGAGGGCAAGCGUUGUUCGGAUUUAUUGGGCGUAAAGGGUGCGUAGGCGGUUUGGCAAGUCUUGUGUGAAAUCUUCGGGCUCAACCCGAAGCCUGCACGAGAAACUACCGGGCUUGAGUAGUGGAGAGGUGAGUGGAAUUUCCGGUGUAGCGGUGAAAUGCGUAGAUAUCGGAAGGAACACCUGUGGCGAAAGCGGCUCACUGGACACUAACUGACGCUGAGGCACGAAAGCUAGGGGAGCAAACAGGAUUAGAUACCCGGGUAGUCCCUGUCUCUUAUAC
rnacentral:rRNA from 1 species